AUUAUAAUUUAUUUAUUUAUUUAUUUCAAAUUAACUAUAUACCAAAUUAAAUGGCUUUCUAUUAUCUUUCAUUUAAGAUGCAUAUAUUAUCUCAAUUAAAUAUAGCUUUUAUUAGAAAAAGAAAAAAAAAACUAAAGAAAAACCCUUGAAACCACCAGAAAAGCAGACUAAGGGUCGAGCCUCGUUAAAACCUCAGAAGAAAAAAUCCAAGAGGAAAAACUCCUUAAGAGGAAAAAGAGUAUUCGUCUAGAGGAAAAGAGCCAUCAAAAGUUAAGAUGCAUAUAUUAUCUAAUAUGAAACCAAACAAAAAAGGGUAAAACU
rnacentral:lncRNA from 1 species